rnacentral:rRNA from 1 species
GACGAACGCUGGCGGCGUGCCUAAUACAUGCAAGUCGAGCGAAGCGGCGGAUGGGUGAGUAACGCGUGGGUAACCUGCCCUUAAGUCUGGGAUACCAUUUAGAAACAGAUGCUAAUACCGGAUACUAAAGGAUGGACCUGCGAUGCAUUAGCUAGUUGGUAAGGUAACGGCUUACCAAGGCGAUGAUGCAUCGCCGAGUUGAGGGAGUGGUCGGCCACAAGGGGACUGAAGCACGGGCCAAACUCCUAAGGGAGGCAGCAGUAGGGAAUCUUCGACAAUGGACGAAAGUCUGAAGGAUCAAAGCCGCGGGGGUGAAGAAGGUUUUCGGGUCGUAAAACUCUGUUGUUGGUGAAGCGGUAAUCAACCGGAAAGGCACGGCUAACUACGUGCCAACAGCCGCGGUAAUUC